ACCGAGAGGGGCUCGCGCCCCCGGGGGCUCCGGCCCCCGACUCUCCACCCAUUGCGUACCGACCUUUGUUGCUUUGGCGGACCCCGGGGUCUCCCCGCGCCGGCUCUCGGGCCGGCGAGCGUCCGUCGGAGGCCCAUCCAAUUCCAUUUUCCAGUCGUCCGAGUGAAAACCACAAUCGUUAAAACUUUCAACAACGGAUCUCUUGGUUCCGGCAUCGAUGAAGAACGCAGCGAAAUGCGAUAAGUAAUGUGAAUUGCAGAAUUCAGUGAAUCAUCGAAUCUUUGAACGCACAUUGCGCCCCUCGGUAUUCCGGGGGGCAUGCCUGUCCGAGCGUCAUUACACCCCUCAAGCGUCGCUUGGUCUUGGACGUCGCCCCCGCGGCGCGCCCGAAAAUCAGUGGCGGUCCGGUGCGACUUUACGCGUAGUAAAUUUCUCCCGCGUUGAAAGUUCGCCCCGCAACCGGCCAGACAACCCCAACUUCAAUCG
rnacentral:rRNA from 1 species